CACAGAUGCCGAUCAGAUAAUGGGUGGCAAAUGUCCAAGUACUGCAGCUACACACAGGCCCUUUAUUGAUGAAUCAAUUACUGUCUGCAUGAAUGUAUUGUCAGUGCUGACUCAGAGACUGGGAGAAAGACAAGUAGCCACAGUGUCACAAGUUCAGCUAUGGUGGACUUCCCUUCUUUGUGUCUUUAAAGGAAAUAGCUACCUCGUUAUUUUACUCUCUUUUGAAUUAUCUCUGUCAGAGGACUUCAUAAUAUGGAAGAACAGCAAUGUGAUGAACUGUAUUUCAAUUUGAAAAUGAGCACUCAAGAUUAAAAACAUCGAUUUCUCACUGAAGAUGAGGUUAUGGCUAACCUUGGCUGCUGCAAGGAGAGGAAGGGCCCAUGUGACUUAAUUCCAUUUUACAAGGACAAGCCAGAAAUACUGUCAGGAAGACCCCCUCUUCCUUCUCUGUGGCCUUUCCACUGCUGAAACAGAUGAUGAGCUGAACUUGUUUCUAUCUUUAAACAAAGUGAAGAAGAAAAGAAGGACUCAGUGUUAAAAUAAGAUGUUACAUUUUAAUAUCA